rnacentral:rRNA from 1 species
AUAUACGACCGUACCGCAAACCGACACUGGUGCGCGAGAUGAGUAUUCUAAGGCGCUUGAGAGAACUCAGGAGAAGGAACUCGGCAAAUUGACACCGUAACUUCGGAAGAAGGUGUGCCCUAUUAGUGUGUAGUGAACAACGAAGCAUGAAUGGGUUGCAAAAAAUCGGUGGCUGCGACUGUUUAUUAAAAACACAGCACUCUGCAAACACGAAAGUGGACGUAUAGGGUGUGACGCCUGCCCGGUGCUGGAAGAUUAAAUGAUGGGGUGCAAGCUCUUGAUUGAAGUCCCAGUAAACGGCGGCCGUAACUAUAACGGUCCUAAGGUAGCGAAAUUCCUUGUCGGGUAAGUUCCGACCUGCACGAAUGGCGUAACGAUGGCCACACUGUCUCCUCCUGAGACUCAGCGAAGUUGAAAUGUUUGUGAUGAUGCAAUCUCCCCGCGGAAAGACGGAAAGACCCCAUGAACCUUUACUGUAGCUUUGUAUUGGACUUUGAACAGAUCUGUGUAGGAUAGGUGGGAGGCUUUGAAGCAGGGUCGCUAGAUCUUGUGGAGCCAACGUUGAAAUACCACCCUGGUGUGUUUGAGGUUCUAACCUAGGUCCAUUAUCUGGAUCGGGGACAGUGCAUGGUAGGCAGUUUGACUGGGGCGGUCUCCUCCCAAAGCGUAACGGAGGAGUUCGAAGGUACGCUAGUUACGGUCGGACAUCGUGACGAUAGUGCAAUGGCAUAAGCGUGCUUAACUGCGAGACUGACAAGUCGAGCAGAUGCGAAAGCAGGACAUAGUGAUCCGGUGGUUCUGUAUGGAAGGGCCAUCGCUCAACGGAUAAAAGGUACUCUGGGGAUAACAGGCUGAUACCGCCCAAGAGUUCAUAUCGACGGCGGUGUUUGGCACCUCGAUGUCGGCUCAUCUCAUCCUGGGGCUGUAGCCGGUCCCAAGGGUAUGGCUGUUCGCCAUUUAAAGAGGUACGUGAGCUGGGUUUAAAACGUCGUGAGACAGUUUGGUCCCUAUCUUCCGUGGGCGCUGCAGAUUUGAGGAAGCCUGCUCCUAGUACGAGAGGACCGGAGUGGACACACCUCUGGUGUAUCAGUUGUCACGCCAGUGGCAUUGCCGAGUAGCUAAGUGCGGAAGAGAUAACCGCUGAAAGCAUCUAAGCGGGAAACUCGUUUCAAGAUGAGAUCUGCCGGGGCCUUGAGCCCCCUAAAGAGUCGUUCAAGACCAGGACGUUGAUAGGUCAGGUGUGGAAGCGAAAAAA